rnacentral:rRNA from 1 species
AUUGAACGCUGGCGGCAUGCCUUACACAUGCAAGUCGAACGGCAGCGCGGGGCAACCUGGCGGCGAGUGGCGAACGGGUGAGUAAUAUAUCGGAACAUACCCUAGAGUGGGGGAUAACGUAGCGAAAGUUACGCUAAUACCGCAUACGCACUAAGGUGGAAAGUGGGGGAUUCGCAAGAACCUCAUGCUCAUGGAGUGGCCGAUAUCUGAUUAGCUAGUUGGUGAGGUAAAGGCUCACCAAGGCAACGAUCAGUAGCUGGUUUGAGAGAACGACCAGCCACACUGGAACUGAGACACGGUCCAGACUCCUACGGGAGGCAGCAGUGGGGAAUUUUGGACAAUGGGGGCAACCCUGAUCCAGCAAUGCCGCGUGAGUGAAGAAGGCCUCGGUGUAAGCGUCUUUGUUCUAGGGAAGAAACGGUAGAGAGCUAAUAUACUCUUG